UACGUAGGGGGCAAGCGUUGUCCGGAAUUAUUGGGCGUAAAGAGCGUGUAGGCGGUCCGGUAAGUCAGCUGUGAAAGUCAAGGGCUCAACCCUUGAAUGCCGGUUGAUACUGUCGGGCUAGAGUCCGGAAGAGGCGAGUGGAAUUCCCGGUGUAGCGGUGAAAUGCGCAGAUAUCGGGAGGAACACCAAUGGCGAAGGCAGCUCGCUGGGACGGUACUGACGCUGAGACGCGAAAGCGUGGGGAGCAAACAG
rnacentral:rRNA from 1 species